rnacentral:rRNA from 1 species
UACGUAGGGGGCGAGCGUUGUCCGGAUUUAUUGGGCGUAAAGAGCUCGUAGGCGGUUCGAUAAGUCAGGUGUAAAAACUCCAGGCUCAACUUGGAGAGGCCACCUGAUACUGUCGUGACUAGAGUUCGGCAGGGGAGACUGGAGUUCCUGGUGUAGCUGUGAAAUGCGCAGAUAUCAGGAGGAACACCGGUGGCGAAGGCGGGUCUCUGGGCCGAUACUGACGCUGAGGAGCGAAAGCGUGGGGAGCGAACAGG